GGACUACAGGGGUAUCUAAUCCCGUUCGCUCCCCUAGCUAUCGCCUCUGAGCGUCAGGUACCAACCAGGACACUGCCUUCGCCUUUGGUGUUCUUCCGGAUCUCUACGCAUUUCACCACUCCACCCGGAGUUCCGUGUCCCUCUCUGGCCCUCAAGUCUUCCCGUUUCCGUACUCCUCGACUCGUUAGGCGAGUCGCUGUCGGCACGAACGCGAAAGACCGCCUGCGUGCGCUUUACGCCCAGUAACUCCGGACAACGCUCGCUCCCUACGUAUUACCGCGGCUGCUGGCAC
rnacentral:rRNA from 1 species